CAUUUGAAACUGGGGAACUUGAGUGCAGAAGAGGAGAGUGGAAUUCCACGUGUAGCGGUGAAAUGCGUAGAGAUGUGGAGGAACACCAGUGGCGAAGGCGACUCUCUGGUCUGUAACUGACGCUGAGGCGCGAAAGCGUGGGGAGCGAACAGGAUUAGAUACCCUGGUAGUCCACGCCGUAAACGAUGAGUGCUAAGUGUUAGAGGGUUUCCGCCCUUUAGUGCUGCAGCAAACGCAUUAAGCACUCCGCCUGGGGAGUACGGUCGCAAGACUGAAACUCAAAGGAAUUGACGGGGGCCCGCACAAGCGGUGGAGCAUGUGGUUUAAUUUGAAGCAACGCGAAGAACCUUACCAGGUCUUGACAUCCUCUGACAACCCUAGAGAUAGGGCUUCCCCUUCGGGGGCAGAGUGACAGGUGGUGCAUGGUUGUCGUCAGCUCGUGUCGUGAGAUGUUGGGUUAAGUCCCGCAACGAGCGCAACCCUUGAUUUUAGUUGCCAGCAUUCAGUUGGGCACUCUAAGGUGACUGCCGGUGACAAACCGGAGGAAGGUGGGGAUGACGUCAAAUCAUCAUGCCCCUUAUGACCUGGGCUACACACGUGCUACAAUGGGCAGAACAAAGGGCAGCGAAGCCGCGAGGCUAAGCCAAUCCCACAAAUCUGUUCUCAGUUCGGAUCGCAGUCUGCAACUCGACUGCGUGAAGCUGGAAUCGCUAGUAAUCGCGGAUCAGCAUGCCGCGGUGAAUACGUUCCCGGGCCUUGUACACACCGCCCGUCACACCACGAGAGUUUGUAACACCCGAAGUCGGUGAGGUAACCUUUUGGAGCCAGCCGCCGAAGGUGGGACAGA
rnacentral:rRNA from 1 species